CCUACGGGGGACAGCAGUGAGGAAUAUUGGUCAAUGGGCGUAAGCCUGAACCAGCCAAGCCGCGUGAGGGAUGAAGGUUCUAUGGAUCGUAAACCUCUUUUAUAAGGGAAUAAAGUGUGGGACGUGUCCUGUUUUGUAUGUACCUUAUGAAUAAGGAUCGGCUAACUCCGUGCCAGCAGCCGCGGUAAUACGGAGGAUCCGAGCGUUAUCCGGAUUUAUUGGGUUUAAAGGGUGCGUAGGCGGCCUUUUAAGUCAGCGGUGAAAGGCUGUGGCUCAACCAUAGAAUUGCCGUUGAAACUGGGGGGCUUGAGUAGGUUAGAGGCAGGCGGAAUGCGUGGUGGAGCGGUGAAAUGCUUAGAUAUCACGCAGAACCCCGAUUGCGAAGGCAGCCUGCCAGGCCAUGACUGACGCUGAUGCACGAAAGCGUGGGGAUCAAACAGGAUUAGAUACCCCGGUAGUC
rnacentral:rRNA from 1 species